AUUUGCUGAAAAGUGAAAGUUAAUUCACAGAUGUUUCAUGUUAAUUGCUGAUAAAACUUAGGAUUUUUAAGUUAGCUUGAGAAAAGCUUGGUUAAAAGUUGAUUUCUCAGGCAACUUACCGAUCUCAAGAAUAGUUAAAAUCUAUUUCAAGUUGGCCUCAUCUGUUUGUGAGAAACUGAGCCUUUGUUCUUGUACGUGUUGAGUUGGGCGCUAACAUUUUUUAUUUUUUGUUCAAUAUUGAAAUAGUGUGAUAACGAUUCGCAGUAAAGCUCAGCUUUUCUUGUCCAGCCCUCCAUUGGUGUGUGUCUGCUCAUCUUUGCAUAAAACUCAUGGAUAUCUUUGCAAUUACUUUGUAGUUAUUGAGGUUAUCAUCUGGAAAAUUUUCUAACAUUUUGGUUCCUCAUUUUGUAUCUUUAGGCAUUAGUGAUUGAUGUUGAUUUGAUCACCUUUAACCUCCGAUGAUGACCUCAAUUUUACCUCUCGUUCAAUUUUGGUUAUCAUGUGUGUUUGCACCUUCAACAACAACUCUUCACACAUCUCGAGAUGCCUUCAUUUAUACCUUAAACAUGUUUAGCUUAAAGUUUAAUUUGGUGUAGUUGAUCUGACAAUUUUAGAUUGCGGUCUUUUCGCAGGUUAACUGGUUAUUUGUCAUAGUAUAUUAAAAUUAAACUAUAGUAAAUAAGAUUAAGAUGCAUUACCAAGAAGUAUAAUACAAAUAUGAUACACACAAGAUAUAUUAUUCAGGUAAAAUUGAUUGUUUGAAUAACUUUCUCUCUUCCUUAAUAUUAUUUAAGCAAAUAUCAUCUUUCAAUUUUUUAUUGAGUCCAAUGUUAAACUAAAUUGUUGACCUGUUUUGGCUCUUCAAUCUAACAAAACGUUUCCUCGUCAACAACCAACCAAAAUCCAGAUUUAGGUUAGCCUGGUGUAAAGUGUCCAUCAGCAUUAUGCAUAAAGGCAAGGAAACAAGAUAAAUCAUCAUCAUUAUCACCAACUUUAUCUUCAACUUAAGAUGAUAAUGUCUUUUUUUGUUUCUCCUUUUUUAUUUAAAUCCUUUCUUUUAAUACUGACCAUACAAAUAGUUUAUUUUCAUAAUCAACUUAAACCUUUCAAUUGUCAUUAAGAUUCAACCAGUUCUUAGCCAACCUUUAUGCUCAACCUAAUUGGAUAAUAAUGAAAUAAAAGUGUAGACUAUCAACUAACCAUUGGCUAACCAUCAUUGGCAAAUAAUCACAAAGAGUAGCACAAUUAAGAAAAGCCAUAUUCAAUGGGCUUAAAAAAUCAAACAAAGCUGGCUAUGAAGAUGUAAACAAAUGCAGAUUAAUCAAAAUGAACGUUACAGAAGAUGAAAUUUUCAUGAUUUAACGCAUUUAUAUUAAUACAUUGAAUUUAAUGGGUAAUUAACCAUUAAGAACCAGCAUUUGACCAGAGUAUUGAAUAAAACAUAAGUCUAUUCAAUUUGGGUUAAUUCAAAAGUACAAACCAGAAAUUUAUGCUGGUUCAAGUAAUCAUUUACAAAGAUUAUCUUCUCUGAAAAUACAAUCAUUUACUGAUCAAUGAUCAUUGAGUAAACGUUCAACAUGAAGUUUAAUUUACUAAUUGGAUUGAUUGUUCUGUGUGUUGGAGUUGGAAUCGCUGUUGGGCAGAAAUACGCUAAAAAAGAGUUGCUACCAUUCAAUGAAGCUUUUGGAUAUGACGUUCCUUCACGCGAGAGGACUCUUGGUGGUGCAGUUCGUGCUGCUAACAGAGCUUAUCGACAAAUGAUUUAUUAUUACUUGUAUUACCAUGGAGGGUAAUUUAUUACAUUGUUGUGGAUGAUUAACCUUAUUGGUUAGUAACGGAUAAUUUACAAUGGAUUUUCAAAAAUUUUGGAUAUUUAUAAAUUUGUUGAAUAUUGAGUUGAUUUAGUAUGAAUAAAAAGAUUGUUGUU